UACAGAGGUGGCAAGCGUUGUUCGGAAUUACUGGGCGUAAAGAGCUCGUAGGCGGUUUGUCGCGUCGUCCGUGAAAAACUUGGGGCUCACCCCCAAGCUUGCGGGCGAUACGGGCAGACUUGAGUACUGCAGGGGAGACUGGAAUUCCUGGUGUAGCGGUGAAAUGCGCAGAUAUCAGGAGGAACACCGGUGGCGAAGGCGGUUCUCUGGGCAUGUCCUGACGCUGAGGAGCGAAAGUGUGGGGAGCGAACAGG
rnacentral:rRNA from 1 species